rnacentral:rRNA from 1 species
AGAGUUUGAUCCUGGCUCAGGACGAACGCUGGCGGCGUGCUUAACACAUGCAAGUCGAACGGAAAGGUCUCUUCGGAGAUACUCGAGUGGCGAACGGGUGAGUAACACGUGGGUGAUCUGCCCUGCACUUCGGGAUAAGCCUGGGAAACUGGGUCUAAUACCGGAUAGGACCACGGGAUGCAUGUCUUGUGGUGGAAAGCGCUUUAGCGGUGUGGGAUGAGCCCGCGGCCUAUCAGCUUGUUGGUGGGGUGACGGCCUACCAAGGCGACGACGGGUAGCCGGCCUGAGAGGGUGUCCGGCCACACUGGGACUGAGAUACGGCCCAGACUCCUACGGGAGGCAGCAGUGGGGAAUAUUGCACAAUGGGCGCAAGCCUGAUGCAGCGACGCCGCGUGGGGGAUGACGGCCUUCGGGUUGUAAACCUCUUUCACCAUCGACGAAGGUCCGGGUUCUCUCGGAUUGACGGUAGGUGGAGAAGAAGCACCGGCCAACUACGUGCCAGCAGCCGCGGUAAUACGUAGGGUGCGAGCGUUGUCCGGAAUUACUGGGCGUAAAGAGCUCGUAGGUGGUUUGUCGCGUUGUUCGUGAAAUCUCACGGCUUAACUGUGAGCGUGCGGGCGAUACGGGCAGACUAGAGUACUGCAGGGGAGACUGGAAUUCCUGGUGUAGCGGUGGAAUGCGCAGAUAUCAGGAGGAACACCGGUGGCGAAGGCGGGUCUCUGGGCAGUAACUGACGCUGAGGAGCGAAAGCGUGGGGAGCGAACAGGAUUAGAUACCCUGGUAGUCCACGCCGUAAACGGUGGGUACUAGGUGUGGGUUUCCUUCCUUGGGAUCCGUGCCGUAGCUAACGCAUUAAGU